rnacentral:rRNA from 1 species
CAGCACCUCAAGUGGUCAGGAUGAUUAUUGGGCCUAAAGCAUCCGUAGCCGGCGCUGUAAGUUUUCGGUUAAAUCUGUACGCUCAACGUACAGGCUGCCGGGAAUACUGCAGAGCUAGGGAGUGGGAGAGGUAGACGGUACUCGGUAGGAAGGGGUAAAAUCCUUUGAUCUAUUGAUGACCACCUGUGGCGAAGGCGGUCUACCAGAACACGUCCGACGGUGAGGGAUGAAAGCUGGGGGAGCAAAGCGGAUUAGAUACCCGAGUAGUCC